GUGUCAGCCGCCGCGGUAAUACGUAGGGUGCGAGCGUUGUCCGGAUUUAUUGGGCGUAAAGAGCUCGUAGGUGGUUUGUUGCGUCGGAAGUGAAAACACAGGGCUUAACUCUGUGCUUGCUUUCGAUACGGGCAGACUUGAGGAAGGUAGGGGAGAACGGAAUUCCUGGUGGAGCGGUGGAAUGCGCAGAUAUCAGGAGGAACACCAGUGGCGAAGGCGGUUCUCUGGACCUUUCCUGACGCUGAGGAGCGAAAGCGUGGGGAGCAAACAGGCUUAGAUACCCUGGUAGUCCACGCCGUAAACGGUGGGCACUAGGUGUGGGGGACAUUCCACGUUCUCCGUGCCGUAGCUAACGCAUUAAGUGCCCCGCCUGGGGAGUACGGCCGCAAGGCUAAAACUCAAAUAAAUUGACGG
rnacentral:rRNA from 1 species